AGGGAGGAGCUCAACAAAUUUCGACCCUGAUUGUUAAGGAGAUUGGAGAAAAUAAAGUUCGUAUUUUAGAACCUGUUACAAAAGUUUAUCAGAUGGAGCAGGAGGGCUAUGUAGAAGUUAUUACUCAACAAGGAAUAAAAUACAGUUGUAAUCAAGUGAUAAUGGCAAUUCCUCCUCAUUUAAAUGUAAACAUCGAGUUCAAACCGCCUCUUCCCUUGACAAAGAUGGAACUUUUUAAAAACAUGCCUAUAGGAAAUCUAGUCAAGUACAUUAUCACAUAUCCAAAG